AGCAGUAGCCGCGGUAAUACGGAGGGUGCAAGCGUUAUCCGGAUUUAUUGGGUUUAAAGGGUCCGUAGGCGGAUCUGUAAGUCAGUGGUGAAAUCUCACAGCUUAACUGUGAAACUGCCAUUGAUACUGCAGGUCUUGAGUAAAUUUGAAGUGGCUGGAAUAAGUAGUGUAGCGGUGAAAUGCAUAGAUAUUACUUAGAACACCAAUUGCGAAGGCAGGUCACUAAGAUUUAACUGACGCUCAUGCACGAAAGCGUGGGGAGCAAACAGGAUUAGAUACCCCUGUAGUCCCUGUCUCUUAUAC
rnacentral:rRNA from 1 species